rnacentral:lncRNA from 1 species
CUCUGGAGGCCACACAGCUGGUUCUAGAAGCAACAGGUCAAGAAGCCUGCUGACAAAGCCAGAACAAUCUUGUUGCAGGUCGGAUUUAAGCAUUUAUUUCUCUACCAGUCAAAGUCUUCUAGCAGCCAACUUGCCACACCAAGGAAUAUCAGAGACGGGGCAUUGCGCUAUGUUGCCCAUGCUGGUCUCAAACUCCGGGCCUCAAGUGUUCCUCCUGUCUCAACCUCCUGAAGUGCUGGAAUUUACGGGCAUGUGCCACUGCACUUGGCUCUUAUGUUUCAUUCUGUCUCAGCUUUGAAGCGUGGAAUAGAUAGGCCUCUGGAUCAGGGCUUUUAAUGAUUAUGGCUAAGCCUUAGCUAAAAAAGGUCACGGUGGAGAGGCCUAAGUCUGUGUUUUUAUUACCCUUAGUCUCUUCUGUUAUUAUUUAUGUAUUCAAAAAGCAUUUGAAGGUCUCCUUUAUGCCUAGGCAUUAUAUUAAGUCCAGGGUAUUCACCAAUAAUAAAAAUGCCCAUCAUCUUCGGAAAACAGUAUGGUGGGUACUCAAAAAAUUAAAAAUAGAAUGAUCAGCAAUCCACUUCUGGGUAUAUAUCCAAAAGAACUGAAAACAGAAUGUCAAGAGAUACAGAAUGUUCACAGCGGCAUUAUUCACAAUAGCCAAGAGGUGGAAACAACCCAAAUGUUCACUGAUGGAUGACUGGAUAAACAAGAUGUGGUGUAUACAUACGAUGGAAUAUUAUGUGGCCUGUCUAUUAUGAAGGAAAUCCUGUCACAUGCUAUAACAUGGAUGAAACUUGAGGACAUUAUGCUAAGUGAAACCAAUUGCAAAAGGAAAAAUACUGCAUGAUUCCAAUAAUAUGAGGUAUCUAAAGUAAUCAAAUUCGUAUGUAUGUAUAGAAAGUAGAAUGGUGAUUACCAGGGGCUAGGGGCAGGGGGCAAAGUUGUUGUUUAAUGGUGCUAUGAUCUGAAUGUGUGGGUCCUCUCAAAAUUCAUGUGUUGAAACCUAACUCCCAAGGCGAUUAUAUUAAGAGGUGGGGCUUUUGGGGAGGUGAUUAGGUCAGGAGGGCAGUGUUGUGGUCAACUAUCUUCAGGGGCCUGUUGAUGGCUGGCUUCUCCAUGAUAGUGAGCCUGUGUCAUAUCUCUGCUGGGGCUCAGCAGACCCCAUAUAGAUCCCACUGUUGUGCCUGGGAUGGUCCCACUAUUUCUUGGCCUGGGAGCAUGAGGGCUGAGGCCAUUGGUGGAAAUUCCAGAUUGGUCUUGUUGAAGAGAAGAGCAUCAGUCACUUUUUAAAGAAAGAUAUUUUAUUCGAACCACUGCAGUAUUGAAGAGAGACUUUAGUAUAAACUGAGCUCACCUCCAACUAAGACAAUGGUAAAUGGGACAUUUAAAGGGAGAUCAUAGAGGUAAUUAAAAGGGGGUAUGGGGAAGUAAAAAAAAAGAGAGGACAAAGAAAGUCUGGGAAAAAUGGAAAAUUACAGAAGGAGUGAGUGGAAAAUUACUGAAAACUGUUUGGCAAAGUGGGUUGGGACACAGUACAUUUUGCAGCUUAGCAGCAUUGUGUUUUUCUGAGCAAAGACUUCGCACAGGGGCUGGGGCCACCUUUAGGGACUGCUGUGGUCUGAAUGUCUCCCCAAAGUCACAUGUUGCAACUUAAUCACCAAUGUGAUAGCACUAACAAGUGGGGCCUUCAGGGGGUGAUUAAGUCAUGAUGGUGGAGCUCUCAUAAAUGUGAUCAGUGACCUUAUAAAAUGUGAUUAGUGACCUUAUUAGUGGCUGGAGGUAACUAGCCCCCUUUCGCUGUUCUGCUCUUCUGCCACGUGAGGAUACAGCAUUCUAGGCACCAUCUUGGAAGCAAAGACAGAGGCCCUCACCAGACACUGAACCUGCUAAUGCCUUGAUCUUGGACUUCUCAGCCCCCAGAACUAUGUGGAAA